AGCCAUAGCCAUAUCACCCUGCAGCCCAAGACUGGUUGCCCACUGAAGCUAAGCAGGGUUGAGCCUGGUCAGUACCUGGAUGGGAGAUCUACUGGGAAAACUAGGUUGCUGUUGGAA
rnacentral:rRNA from 1 species